UACGUAGGGCGCAAGCGUUAUCCGGAAUUAUUGGGCGUAAAGAGCUCGUAGGCGGUUUGUCGCGUCUGCCGUGAAAGUCCGGGGCUCAACCCCGGAUCUGCGGUGGGUACGGGCAGGCUAGAGUGAUGUAGGGGAGACUGGAAUUCCUGGUGUAGCGGUGAAAUGCGCAGAUAUCAGGAGGAACACCGGUGGCGAAGGCAGGUCUCUGGGCCACUACUGACGCUGAGAAGCGAAAGCAUGGGGAGCGAACAGG
rnacentral:rRNA from 1 species